UGUAAAUAUUUUUUCCCGUCUUGCGUAUGAACUCCAUGGACUCCAUCAUUUCCUUUCUGCCAUCGACUUCCUCCACUGAGUUUCCUUCUCCAUCGGUCCUUCCGUGAUCAUUCUGCCUACCUCUAAUUCAUUUCCACCUUCUGAUUCUUCUAUCAUUCAUCACGAACAAUACCCUUCCCUUGCCUCUUCCAACAAUCCCUAUGUUUUGCAUCACAGCGACACCUCUAACCUAGUUCUUGUGACUGAGCCUCUCACAGACGAAAAUUAUAUUACCUAGAGCCGUUCAAUGAUUCUUGCUUUGUCGAUUCGAAACAAACUUGGUUUUAUUGAUGGAUCGCUUGCUCAGUCUACAUGUGAUUUACUACCUUUAUGGAUUCGGAACAACAAUGUUGUAAUUGCUUGGAUCUUGAAUUCAGUCUCCAAGGAAUUUCUUCUAGUAUUUUGUUUACCGAUUCAGCCAGAGCGAUUUGGCUUGAUCUUCAAGAUGAUUUUCAAAAACGCAAUGGACCACACAUUUUUCAUCUGAAACGCGGUUUGUCCACUCUCAAGCAAGAACAUGGAUCUGUUACGGUGUACUAUGCCAAGGUUAAAAGUCUCUGGGAUGAAUACGCCUUCUAUCAGCCUGGCUGCACUUGCAGAAAAUGUACUUGUGGAUUUAGAUCGGCUGAAGAUUUUAUCCAAUUUGAAUAUCUGUUGUGUUUCCUAAUGGGCCUAAGUGAUGAUUUCGCUCAUAUUAGGUCUUAGAUCUUGCUUAUGAAUUCGCCUCCUGCCAUCAACCAAGCGUUUUCUCUAAUUGUUCAGCAAGAGCAACAUCAAUCUUCUUCUUCUAUCAAGCUACCCUGACUCUUAUUUUUGUUGUUCAUAAACUUGAUAAAUCUGAUACUUCCUCUCAAUCACAGCAGACUGCUAUCUCCAAUCCUACACGACAGAACAAAAACAAAACGGUUUGUACCUAUUAUCAUAUUUCAGGGCAUACGAUUGAUAAAUGUUAUAAGGUCCUCCCUCGAUUAUAAACAAAAAGGUCAGACUCGUCCAACUACUCAAGUUCAUAAGCUUUCUCCUAAUUCGGUUGUUGUUGCAAACACCACUAUUGAUUCUCACCAAAGAGUUUCUUUGUCUGCCACUGCGUUGAAUCCUGAUACUCUUGCUCAAUGUCAUAGUAUUCAUACUAUGCUACAAUCCAAGCUUGCUGCAGUGAAAUAUGAUUCGGAUGCUGUUAUACAUCUAGCAGAAAAUCGAUUUCAGGAUUUUGUAUCUUCCUUGUGGAUUCACUGCUAUCAUGGAAGUUGAAGAAGUAGAACGUGGUUUCUCGUUUUUCAGCUAAAGCAAAAUACAAAGCUCUUGCUUCUACUGCUUGUGAGCUUGUUUGGCUCACUUCAUUACUUCAUGACUUAUGUGCCUAUUACUCGAUCGUCCUUGUUAUUUUGUGACAAUCAGGCGACAGUGCAUUUGGCUACGAAUCCCAGAUCUCUCAAACUUCUUCCUGUACGUUCUACUUAUCAACUGGCUAAUGUGUUUACCAAAGCUCUUCAUGCUCCUACUUAUGUUUCUAUUUUGUCCAAGUUGGGUAUCUCAAAUUUAUAUACUCCAACUUGAGGGGUAUAAUAGUUGUAACCAUAGUUUGUUAUUAAUCUCUCAUAAUAAUAAUUUUUUAUUAUUCUGUUAUUUCUAUUUUUUAUACUGAUUAGUUAUAUUUUUUGUAUAUAUAUAUAUAC